rnacentral:rRNA from 1 species
AACGAACGCUGGCGGCAGGCUUAACACAUGCAAGUCGAGCGCCCCGCAAGGGGAGCAGCAGACGGGUGAGUAACGCGUGGGAAUCUACCCAUCCCUACGGAAUAGCUCCGGGAAACUGGAAUUAAUACCGUAUACGCCCUACGGGGGAAAGAUUUAUCGGGGAUGGAUGAGCCCGCGUUGGAUUAGCUAGUUGGUGGGGUAAAAGCCUACCAAGGCGACGAUCCAUAGCUGGUCUGAGAGGAUGAUCAGCCACAUUGGGACUGAGACACGGCCCAAACUCCUACGGGAGGCAGCAGUGGGGAAUAUUGGACAAUGGGGGCAACCCUGAUCCAGCCAUGCCGCGUGAGUGAUGAAGGCCUUAGGGUUGUAAAGCUCUUUCACCGGGGAAGAUAGUGACGGUACCCGGAGAAGAAGCCCCGGCUAACUUCGUGCCAGCCGCCGCCGUAA